rnacentral:lncRNA from 1 species
UAGAUGUCAACGAUCUUUAUAAAGUUGUUUGAAGCGUCUAUGAUAAACAGAGAGCAAAUUAGAAUCCAAGGAAGUUGACAUGUCAUCACUUCAUUUUUUUGCGCCUGCGCAUAAAUCUGAGAAACGUGAGUUUUGUCUUCAUUGUUUAUCUAGACAUAGGAUAGGUUGUGUGAAAAUAUUACUGAUGUUUAACGUUAAAAAUGGACCAAAAGAUUAAUGCUAAACAACAUUUGACAUGUUUGAACGAACAUAAAUAGAUUAUUUACUAGGUUUUUUUAGCUUUUCGGCGUGAUUUUACAGUCCCCCCACCACGUUUUGUGGGAGCAUAAUGAACGCUAAGUACUUGGUGUUAUUUGGACAUAAAUUAUAAACUUUGUCAAAAGAAACCACAUUUGUUCCGGACCUGGAAUGCCUUCCGGACCUGGGAUCCUGCCUUCUGAUGGAGAUAAUCAAAGGUGGAGAAAACAACAAGCAGAAAGUGAAGUUACUGUAGAUGUGCCUCAUUGAAAAUAUGGAAAUUGACAUUUGACAAUUGAAAUCUGAAUGGUGCCUACUGUCAAGGUUGUCGUUGGAAAUGGAAAUGGAGGACCAAAACGCAGCAGGGAUUCUAGUUUCAACCACUGAGAUCGACAUUAUCAACAACCUCAGCAGCCUCUGUCACUGGAGAUCCAAGAAGACAAGGAGUGGGGAAUUGCAACCUUUGGCCAAAUCAAGACAUGUUAUUGAAGUCAGCGAAUGUGACACGGGAUGUCAUAUAAACGGAGGCAAAGGGUAGCAGACAAAGUGUAACAGAUGGAUGUCUGUCUGGUGUCUGUCAUGUCUGAAGUAAUGAUCUAAGACCACAGGAAAGAUGAAGUGAAUAUGUUGAACACAACUGUUAUGAAACCUUCAAGAGUCUGUCAGAAACCUUGCUAAUUGUAAUUAAUUGGCUUUGCAGUCAUACAGUGCCUUCAGAAAGUAUUCACACCCCUUGACUUUUUCAAUAUUUGGUUGUGUUACAAAGAG